rnacentral:rRNA from 1 species
GAUGAACGCUGGCGGCGUGCCUAAUACAUGCAAGUCGAGCGAACAGACGAGGAGCUUGCUCCUUUGACGUUAGCGGCGGACGGGUGAGUAACACGUGGAUAACCUACCUAUAAGACUGGGAUAGCUUCGGGAAACCGGAGCUAAUACCGGAUAACAUGUUGAACCGCAUGGUUCAACAGUGAAAGACGGUCUUGCUGUCACUUAUAGAUGGAUCCGCGCCGCAUUAGCUAGUUGGUAAGGUAACGGCUUACCAAGGCAACGAUGCGUAGCCGACCUGAGAGGGUGAUCGGCCACACUGGAACUGAGACACGGUCCAGACUCCUACGGGAGGCAGCAGUAGGGAAUCUUCCGCAAUGGGCGAAAGCCUGACGGAGCAACGCCGCGUGAGUGAAGAAGGUCUUCGGAUCGUAAAACUCUGUUAUUAGGGAAGAACAAAUGUGUAAGUAACUAUGCACGUCUUGACGGUACCUAAUCAGAAAGCCACGGCUAACUACGUG